AACGAACGCUGGCGGCAUGCCUAACACAUGCAAGUCGAACGAGACCUUCGGGUCUAGUGGCGCACGGGUGCGUAACGCGUGGGAACCUGCCCUUAGGUUCGGAAUAACUCCCCGAAAGGGGUGCUAAUACCGGAUAAUGUCUUCGAACCAAAGAUUUAUCGCCUUUGGAUGGGCCCGCGUUGGAUUAGCUAGUUGGUAGGGUAAAAGCCUACCAAGGCGACGAUCCAUAGCUGGUCUGAGAGGAUGAUCAGCCACACUGGGACUGAGACACGGCCCAGACUCCUACGGGAGGCAGCAGUGGGGAAUAUUGGACAAUGGGCGAAAGCCUGAUCCAGCAAUGCCGCGUGAGUGAUGAAGGCCUUAGGGUUGUAAAGCUCUUUUACCCGGGAUGAUAAUGACAGUACCGGGAGAAUAAGCGCCGGCUAACUCCGUG
rnacentral:rRNA from 1 species